rnacentral:lncRNA from 1 species
GUGGCGCCACUGACUAAUUUCCACGUGAUGUGAUUAUAUGAAGAUGUAAAUGAUUGUGAGUGCUGGUGAUUUGCCAUUUGUGUGACUGGCUGCGUGAGCAUAUAACUAGUCGGAUGACUAGAUUGAUAUGUUUACACAUUUGUGUGACUGCGUGUAUUGUGUAAUAAUUAUUACUCCUUAGAAAACUCACAUGUUUUGUUUGAUGUUUCAGGAAGUAAGUCCUUCUUUAAUACGAUUUAGGAUAUGUUCCUUCGGCGCAGGGCAAUAGAGAAAUUUUUCCUAAUUCUAUAAUUAUUUUACUAUGUAAUUAUAUGUAUAAAAAGCUAUGUAUACCAAAUAGUUAGUGACUCCGCAGUUGUAGAAUUUACUUACAUUUAGUCGGGUAUUAUCAUAGAUGAAAUGAUUCUGUGAGCCCAUAUUAGAAACGUGAUGUAUUGUAAAUUGGGCCCGAACUGUGGAAUUUUGUAGAAGAUAAAUUUGGGCCGAGAUGUAAUAAAAUCUUGAGGUUUAUUUUUUUUAGUAAUAUGGGCUGAAUAUUUGAAAUUUA